AGUUUGAUCCUGGCUCAGGAUGAACGUUGGCAGUGUGCCUAAGACAUGCAAGUCGAACGAAGCGCUAGUGCGGAACUCUUCGGAGGGAAGGAUUAGUGACUGAGUGGCAAACGGGUGAGUAACACGUGGAUGACCUACCCUGAAGUGGGGGAUAACCUUGGGAAACCAGGACUAAUCCCGCAUGUGCUUGUUGGUUGUGACUAACAAGGAAAGAUUUAUCGCUUUAGGAUGGGUCCGCGGGCCAUCAGCUAGUUGGUGAGGUAAAGGCUCACCAAGGCAACGACGGCUAGCCGGCCUGAGAGGGUGAACGGCCACAGGGGUACUGAGACACGGACCCCACUCCUACGGGAGGCAGCAGUUAGGAAUCUUCCACAAUGGGCGCAAGCCUGAUGGAGCGACACUGCGUGAGGGAAGAAGGCUUUCGGGUUGUAAACCUCUAAAAGUAGGACGAUAAUGACGGUACUACUUGAGAAGCACCGGCUAACUCCGUGCCAGCAGCCGCGGUAAUACGGAGGGUGCAAACGUUAUCCGGAAUCACUGGGCGUAAAGGGCACGCAGGCGGUUAGUUAAGUCCGAUGUUAAAGCGUGGGGCUCAACCCCAUACGGGCGUUGGAUACUGGCUAACUAGACUCUUGGAGAGGUAAGUAGAAUUACCAGUGUAGCGGUGGAAUGCGUA
rnacentral:rRNA from 1 species